rnacentral:rRNA from 1 species
UACGUAGGGGGCAAGCGUUGUCCGGAAUUACUGGGCGUAAAGAGCUCGUAGGUGGUUUGUCGCGUUGUUCGUGAAAACUCACAGCUUAACUGUGGGCGUGCGGGCGAUACGGGCAGACUUGAGUACUGCAGGGGAGACUGGAAUUCCUGGUGUAGCGGUGGAAUGCGCAGAUAUCAGGAGGAACACCGGUGGCGAAGGCGGGUCUCUGGGCAGUAACUGACGCUGAGGAGCGAAAGCGUGGGGAGCGAACAGG